rnacentral:rRNA from 1 species
AGAGUUUGAUCAUGGCUCAGGACGAACGCUGGCGGCGCGCCUAACACAUGCAAGUCGAACGAGAGAUGAGGAGCUUGCUCUUCAAAUCGAGUGGCGAACGGGUGAGUAACGCGUGAGGAACCUGCCUCAAAGAGGGGGACAACAGUUGGAAACGACUGCUAAUACCGCAUAAGCCCACGGCUCGGCAUCGAGCAGAGGGAAAAGGAGUGAUCCGCUUUGAGAUGGCCUCGCGUCCGAUUAGCUGGUUGGUGAGGUAACGGCCCACCAAGGCGACGAUCGGUAGCCGGACUGAGAGGUUGAACGGCCACAUUGGGACUGAGACACGGCCCAGACUCCUACGGGAGGCAGCAGUGGGGAAUAUUGCACAAUGGGGGAAACCCUGAUGCAGCGACGCCGCGUGGAGGAAGAAGGUCUUCGGAUUGUAAACUCCUGUUGUUGAGGAAGAUAAUGACGGUACUCAACAAGGAAGUGACGGCUAACUACGUGCCAGCAGCCGCGGUAAAACGUAGGUCACAAGCGUUGUCCGGAAUUACUGGGUGUAAAGGGAGCGCAGGCGGGAGAACAAGUUGGAAGUGAAAUCCAUGGGCUCAACCCAUGAACUGCUUUCAAAACUGUUUUUCUU